rnacentral:rRNA from 1 species
GCGCGAAAACUUUACAAUGCAGGCAACUGUGAUAAGGGAACCCCGAGUGCCCGUAUGGACGGGCUGUUCAGGUGCUUAAAAACCACCUGGAGAAAGGGCCGGGCAAGACCGGUGCCAGCCGCCGCGGUAAUACCGGCGGCUCGAGUGGUGGCCACUAUUACUGGGCUUAAAGCGUCCGUAGCUUGGUCGUUAAGCCUCUGGGGAAAUCUUCCGGCUCAACCGGAAGGCGUCUCAGGGGAACUGGCGACCUAGGGAUCGGGAGAGGUGAGAGGUACUCUGGGGGUAGGAGUGAAAGCCUGGUAAUCCUCAGGGGACCACCUGUGGCGAAGGCGUCUCACCAGAACGACUCCGACAGUGAGGGACGAAAGCUGGGGGAGCAAACCGGAUUAGAGACCCCGUAG